UACGUAGGGUGCAAGCGUUGUCCGGAAUUAUUGGGCGUAAAGAGCUCGUAGGCGGUCUGUCGCGUCGAAUGUGAAAACACGAGGCUCAACUUCGUGCCUGCAUUCGAUACGGGCAGACUAGAGUUCGGUAGGGGAGUCUGGAAUUCCUGGUGUAGCGGUGAAAUGCGCAGAUAUCAGGAGGAACACCGGUGGCGAAGGCGGGACUCUGGGCCGAUACUGACGCUGAGGAGCGAAAGCGUGGGAGCAAACAGG
rnacentral:rRNA from 1 species